rnacentral:rRNA from 1 species
AUGAUUCUGUCACAAGAAGAACUUCUCCAACAAUGUGGAGUGACUGGGCAUUGGAAAAGCAUGCACCAAGACUAUAUAACAGAGGCAUUUUUUUACAAAUUUCAGCAAGAGUUGAUGAAUUCAACUAAGUUUCACAUGGUUGAAGUUGAAAGAAACAAACAAUAUGAGGUGUUCAAAUCACCAACGCAAGCACUAUUUGACUAUAACCCCAGAACUUUCAUAGUCAUGGUGGACAUAGACUCUGAAACUUUCACAUGCAUAUGUGGUAAGUUUGAAAAAGACGGCAUACUAUGCUGUCAUGCACUCAAAGUGAUCCAAGCAUUGAACAUUGAUGAGAUAGCAGAGAAGUAUUUCAUUGAUAGAUGGAGACCUAAAGAGAAGAAAUCAGAACAAGUCAGUGAACAAGUGACAAACCUUGAAGAUUUGGAUGAUCAAAUGGCUUUCUUCUCAUUCUCUAGAAGGCUCACUGAGUUAGCUUCUGAAGCAUCAAAAAAUCCUGAAAGGAGGAAAGUUAUGAGUGAGCAGAUAACCAAUUUGGAGAAAUUAAUUAUGGGCAUACCUUGCAUACCAGAAGGUGAGGAACCAAAGAGUUGUUCGUCAUAA